GUUUGAUGAUGGUUUGGAAGGAAGGAAUGAAGUCUACCAACCAAAAGGUUAUGAGAAGACUUUGGAGACCAAUUCAAUCUCGUUUUUCUUCCCCAAUUUUCUAGACUCUAUUAGGGCAAUAGACCUAUGGAAAGUCUUCUCUAAAUAUGCUCUUGUGGUUGAUGUGUUCAUCCCACAGAAAAGGAAUAGAAGGGGAGGCGUUUUGGUUUUGUGAGAUUUAAAAAAAUGGAAGUUCAAACAUUGUUGGAGAAAAACCUAGACAAUUUGUGGAUGGGGUUAUACAAAGUGACUGUGAACAAACCAAGAUUUUAGAGAUUGAACAAAGAGUCUUAUCAGAUGAAGAAGAUGUUGGAAAUUCCUUAUGAUUGGUGAAAUACCAAUCCUAGGAUCUUGAAUUUCAUGAUUCUCACGCACAUAUAUGAAUCAAAAGGUGCAGUGUCAUACCUGAAUCCAUGUUCCUCGAUGUGCUCCUUUGAUCUACGUUUCUGAAAGAGGUUUUGUGGUAUGAUAGCCUUCCUCAACCAAAUCUCUGAUUCCUCUUGGGACUUGCGUUUUCACUAUGAUGGGGAGAGGAUAAAACUGAAUCUUGAUUUGGUGUAUUGGGGACCAUAACCUUCCUUAUGUGUUAACUUAUAGGGUUCCCAUUAUCCCCUAUGGGUUAACCUGAUGAGUAUCUACCCAUUAAGCCCAUAUCCGUUAUAAGCUUUUAGAAAUCUAAGGGGUGUUAGUAAUUAGAUCACUUAUGAUGUAACCUCGAAAAUAAAUAGCUGAUAUCAUUGUAUCAAAUAUAUGAUGCUCACCUUAAUUAGAAAUUUAUAAUUUCUAACAGAAGAUGGAGAAGCAACAUUUUUUUCCAAUUGUGGUAGAAAGGAGAAGCCUUUGUUAGGCUAUAAGGAGUUUAGACGCCCUGUCAGAGACAUUGCUUCUUGCGGUCCAUUUCACAAUAACUGGAAAAAUGCUCUAUUAACAGGGAUUAAUAAUAUAGAAGAGAUCGAAAAGCUGAAAGAAGAUGUGGCGUUGGAUUUCAAGGUGUCCGGUGAGCAAUUGGAGAAGGUAAAAAGGAUGUUACUGGGUGAACUUAAAAGGGAGGAAGACAUAGACCUUCUACAAGGGAAGAUGAUAAGAGAAGGCUUUUUUUUCUCGUUGAAGGCUAUUCCUUUUGAGGGUAAUCUUUUCCUGAUCAAAGGAGACUUCAUUGAAGACUUGAAGGAAUUGUUAUUGAACGAUAGACAAUGGUGCGAGGAGAGACUUGUGUGGAUUUAUUUCUUUGGGAGUCCACCACAAGCAUGGAUAAAAUAUUUUUUUACGGUUGUUGGCUGGAAAAUUUGGUACCCUUGUUAACUUGGAUGAAGAUACUAAGGAAAUGGCUAGGAUGGUUUUUGGGCGGAUCCGGGUAUCAACAAAAAUCGACAAAAGGAUCGAAGUAGCUGUAAAGGUAUCGAUUGACGGUAUGACGUAUCUUAUCAACUUGGUGGAAGAUUUUUGUGAGGUGGUUGGGGGAUGUAAUCUUGGCGUGGUGGUGUUGGAAUUUAUUUGGGUCAUUUGGAGACGACCUCAGAUGCUGAAUCUUGACGGGAGAGGCAAUCCUGCUGGGGGAGCACCUCUUGCUCGACGAGGAAGACGAUGAUGAUGUGGAUCAUGUAAGUCGUACGGUCAGUAUGUACAGGCUUGUAGGUUUGCAUAAGGCUGGUCAGAAAAUGACUUUUAUUAGAAGAUAAAGACAAGUGUGCAUCAAUUGGCAGAGAAGAUUAGUGUACUUCCAUUCUCAUUCAGAUAGGUAGUCCUCCUCUAUGUAAGGAAAUUACUAGCAGGUUUUCGGACUCUUGUGCGUUUGAGGUAGGUAGAGAAGGCUUGUUUCAGAAGAAAAAGAGAGAGGUUCGAGGAGGCAGAAAUAACAAAGUGGGAAGUAGAGUGGGGAGAGGGACUCUUUAAAUAUUAACCUUGUUAAGGAGGAACGUGAUUCCUCUCGGAUAAUGGACUCUCCAGUACUGGGAAUGUGAGAUGAGAUAAUUUUUUAAAAUUAUUAAUUUAUAAAAAAGUAAAAAUAUGAACCAUUUAAUUUUUGUUAUUGUCAUGUGUCAUAAUCAUACAUAUGCACUGCCCUCUCCAUUAAUGGAGAGGAGCCAGACUCGUUAAGGAGGGGGUGGUUUCCAGUCUGUUGUUGGGUUAGGGAACUUAGGCCUAUUACCACUUGGUUUUCCUUUGAAAAAUCUCCUGUCAAACUAGGUGGACAUUGCUAUUGGGCUAGAUGGUGCAUGGAAUUUGCUUUAGGGUGAGAAGGCCCAUUGCGACUCAAAAAAAUUAAAAACAUUGGUGGGCUUCCAAGGGUUGGACUUAAUUAUCAGGCUAAUUCCUUUGUAUAAUAACUCAAAGUUCGAAAUUGAGUUCUCUUCGACUACGAGGAUGGAUAAAAUAAAGGAAGGUUGCCACGUGAAUGCUCGAUCGGAGGCAAAUUGAAAUGUGGCCAAAGCAAAAAAUAAAGCUAAGAGUAAGCCUAUCCUUCAUAACUCUUUGCUUUUAUCCCAGAAGAUUCAUUUGCUUAAAUCAAAGAAGAACAUAAAAAAGAAAGAUAAGGGUGAUAAGGUGUGCCAAAAGAAGAGGAGAUUGGUUUCGGAAAAAGUAAAAGAAUUUGAAGACUAACCUAGAUCCUUCAAUCAGUAACUUUAUAGACGAUUCUCAUGUUAUGAAAGACUUGCAUUGUAAAAACCAAGAGUAUUCCGCUGGAAAGCUUUGGAAGAUUGCAUAAAAGAUGGGGUUUCUUACCAGGGUGAGGAGGUUGCUAUCCUGGACUUGAUUAAUGAGAUAUAGAUGAGGGAGAUGAUUGGGUCCUCUGCUUCCAAUCACAGGCUUAGGAAUCAUGGUUAAUGAUUUGUAUCUCUUUCAAUAUUAGGGG
rnacentral:lncRNA from 1 species